CUGGUUGAUCCUGCCAGAGGUCACUGCUAUCGGGGUUCGAUUAAGCCAUGCGAGUUGAGAGGGUUAAGACCUUCGGCGGACUGCUCAGUAACACGUGGAUAACCUGCCCUAAGGUGGAGGAUAACCCCGGGAAACUGGGGAUAAUACUCCAUAGGUUAAAGGUACUGGAAUGUUCUUUAACCGAAAGUUCCGGCGCCUUAGGAUGGAUCUGCGGCCGAUUAGGUUGUUGUUGGGGUAGUGGCCCAACAAGCCUGUAAUCGGUACGGGUUGUGGGAGCAAGAGCCCGGAGAUGGAAUCUGAGACACGAUUCCAGGCCCUACGGGGCGCAGCAUGCGCGAAAACUUUACAAUGCAGGAAACUGUGAUAAGGGAACCCCGAGUGCCCGUAUAUGCGGGCUGUCCGGAUGUUUAAAACGCAUCCCAAGAAAGGGCCGGGCAAGACCGGUGCCAGCCGCCGCGGUAAUACCGGCGGCUCGAGUGGUGGCCACUUUUAUUGGGCUUAAAGCGUUCGUAGCUUGAAUAAUAAGUCUCUUGGGAAAUCUGCAGGCUUAACCUGCAGGCGUUUAAGAGAAACUGUUGUUCUAGGAACCGGAAGAGGUGAUAGGUACUCCGGGGGUAGGAGUGAAAUCCUGUAAUCCCCGGGGGACCACCGAUGGCUAAGGCAUCUCACCAGGACGGCUUCGACAGUGAGGAACGAAAGCUGCGGGAGCGAACCGGAUUAGAUGCCCGGGUAGUCCCAGCCGUAAACGAUGUGCGUUAGGUGUGCCGGUGACCACGAGUCACUGGGGUGCCGAAGGGAAACCGUGAAACGUACCGCCUGGCAAGUACGGUCGCAAGGCUGAAACUUAAAGGAAUUGGCGGGGGAGCACCAC
rnacentral:rRNA from 1 species